GGGCCCGUAGCUCAGCUGGAUAGAGCACUAGGCUUCUAACCUAGGGGUCGAGGGUUCGAAUCCCUUCGGGCUCGCCA
rnacentral:tRNA from 1 species